CCCUUAGAUGUUCUGGGCCGCACGCGCGCUACAAUGAUGAAUUCAACGAGUUUAUAACCUUGGUUGAAAAGCCUGGGUAAUCUUUUGAACUUUCGUCGUGAUGGGGCUAGACCCUUGCAAUUAUUGGUCUCCAACGAGGAAUUCCUAGUAAACGCAAGUCAUCAGCUUGCAUUGAUUACGUCCCUGCCCUUUGUACACACCGCCCGUCGCACCUACCGAUUGAAUGGUCCGGUGAAAUCUUCGGAUUGAGACUUUGUUUUCUUCACGGAAAACGCUGUUUAAAAAGUUGAUUAAACCUUACCAUUUAGAGGAAGGUGAAGUCGUAACA
rnacentral:rRNA from 1 species